GAUGAACGCUGGCGGCGUGCCUAAUACAUGCAAGUCGAGCGAACAGACGAGGAGCUUGCUCCUCUAACGUUAGCGGCGGACGGGUGAGUAACACGUGGAUAACCUACCUAUAAGACUGGGAUAACUUCGGGAAACCGGAGCUAAUACCGGAUAAUAUAUUGAACCGCAUGGUUCAAUAGUGAAAGACGGUUUUGCUGUCACUUAUAGAUGGAUCCGCGCCGCAUUAGCUAGUUGGUAAGGUAACAGCUUACCAAGGCAACGAUGCGUAGCCGACCUGAGAGGGUGAUCGGCCACACUGGAACUGAGACACAGUCCAGACUCCUACGGGAGGCAGCAGUAGGGAAUCUUCCGCAAAGGGCGAAAGCCUGACGGAGCAACGCCGCGUGAGUGAUGAAGGUCUUCGGAUCGUAAAACUCUGUUAUUAGGGAAGAACAAAUGUGUAAGUAACUAUGCACGUCUUGACGGUACCUAAUCAGAAAGCCACGGCUAACUACGUG
rnacentral:rRNA from 1 species